CUGUUCUGCUUUGGAGAAUAAGUGGCAGUUUCUAUGUGAUUUGUAAUUAAUGUUAAGGUGUUGGCUUUUUGUAUACUUAUUUCCUGUUUUAUUUUGAAAUACUCUCCUCUCCUCAUGUGUCUUGAAGUUUUACUUCCUGUCUUUGUGUGGUUUUCCCUCCAGUCUUGAUUAUCUGCCCCGCCCUGAUUAGUUCCCCUGUGUCUUAUCUUCCCUCACUAGAGUAUUUAGUCCACGUGUCUGCGUUUGACCCUCAGUCCUGUGUUUGUGCCUCAGUUCCUGUGUCUGUCCUUGUGUUUCUGCCCUCCCUUUUGUACUUUGGCUCCUUUGUGGAUUUUUCUUUGUUGUUUUUUUUUCACUGAACUACUUCUGUUGGCAUUAUUCUUUCUUGGAUUUUACCUGGAUUUCUCAGCCACCCGUAGUUGUUUUGUGUUCUUCUUAAGCGGUGCACACUCCCGUUGUGUUGCUGACUGGCAUUGCUAGAUAGCCUACCAGCUGGGCUGUAUACCCCCCGCAGCCCGGUUUGUGCCCUGCAGCUUCUGCGUCAAGUGAGGGAGAGCCAGGUGUGAGCCCUGCAGCUUCAGCUUCAGGUGAGGGAGAGCCUGAUGUGCAGCAUCAGUUUUCUUUAGGUGAGGAAACCAGACUAAAUCAGUGGGUAUUGAACAUGAGGAGAAAGAAGUGGACUCCCUCUGGCACUUCCUCCUCUCACUCUGCAGUGAGCACUUUGAGGAGGAUCAGCUCAUCACAGACCACUUCACUUCCUGCUCCUGGUGUGUUUCCUGCCAGUUCUGAUUGCAUGUUCCGCCCUAAUUACAGGCACUUGUGCCACAUUACGUGCAUCUACCUGUGUAUAUUGGCUCACUGCCUUCAGUCUCUCAUUGCCAGUUCGUUGAUGUCCUGGUCUCACGUUCCAGCAUUCUGUCUGUUUCUUGGUUUUCUGAUUUUUGGCUGUUUUUUGGACCCUGUUUUGCCUGCCCCUAUUGGACUUGUUUGUUAUCUCCUGACUGCCUAUCUGUGUACCGAACCUGCAUCUUGGAAAGUAAAGACUGUGUUAAUCUUA